rfam:TPA: Bos taurus chromosome 5, whole genome shotgun sequence.
UCCCUCGUGGCUCAGUCAGUUAAGAGUCUGCCUGCAAUGCAGGAGACUCAGGUUCAAUUCCUGGAUUGGGAA